UGCCCUCCUCAUUUUCUAAACCCUCAAAAUUUCUCUCUCUUCUUCCUCAAUGUGCUAUUCCUUCCUCUCUUGUUGUGCCUUCCUCUCUCGUGUUUCCGAUCUUCGUCAUUCUUUCCAAUCAUUCUUGGUCAUCUUCCGAUCAUCCUUCGUUCUCUCUUCUUCUUCCUUUGUGAGCAUCACAGCUUCUUCGCGACCGUAACACGUAGCCACGUUACCUAGGAGUUGGUUUGUGGAAGUCGUGCUCGCUGCAAGGAUUAGGUACAUUUCGUGGUGACCUAAUCGAGGUACGAGGAAAGCUUCAAGUCAUCGCGCCAUUGUUUUAGAUCUCACUACCAUUGUCACUGUUUGGGUUCGAGGUAAGCUUGUUCCCUGUGCCUUUGUACAUGUUCAGGUUGUUUGGACUUAAUCUCUAGUUGGCUUUUUGUUUUCAAUGUAUUUGGUUCAAGAGCCCAGUGCAGUUUUGUACAUGUUUAAUCAAUAUUGAUAAGGAUUAUGAAGAUUAGUGUUGUUUGAAGGGAUUACAUAUUGAAGUUGGGAUAUGUCGUCUUGUCCGGUUAAGCCUAGGUGUUAUGAUUGGUCAGCCUGCCCGGAUAGUCUGGUUGGGUAGUUGUGAAGUAGUCAACUAGUUGCUGUGUUGAAUUGAAUGUGAUAGAAAAUGAUGGCUUCUUAAUUAACUAUUUCCUGAUUGUGUAAUUAGCUGCGAACUAACUGCUUCCUAACUUAUUAGAUAAUUAACACAUAACAUGUAUUCUUAGUUUCUUACCAUCCAUGAAUAGAAAUCAGGGAAAAUAAAAGUAAAUUAAGAAGAAUAGGUAAGAUUUGCUUGAGGAUUGAAGUUUGUAGUUUAUCAUGGACAUUGACAACUCCAUCUAAAUACAAAGUGAAAUAUUGUUCUAAGCACUCAAAUAAUUAGGUUUUUCAUAGUAACUAUACCGUGCAAGUUUGUACAGCAGAAUCUGCUUUGCGCUUCCUAAGUCCAAAGGAUAUUUGCAUAGUAACUAUAUCAUUUUAUAUAAUACUACAAAGGAAC